ACUAUGACUCUUUCUUUCCGACUAAAAGACUUUACAACCCGAAGGCCUUCUUCACUCACGCGGCAUGGCUGGAUCAGGCUUUCGCCCAUUGUCCAAAAUUCCCCACUGCUGCCUCCCGUAGGAGUCUGGGCCGUGUCUCAGUCCCAGUGUGGCUGGUCGUCCUCUCAGACCAGCUACUGAUCGUNGCCUUGGUAAGCCUUUACCCCACCAACUAGCUAAUCAGACAUCAGCCGCUCCUUUAGCGCAAGGUCUUUCGAUCCCCUGCUUUCCUCCCCCCGUG
rnacentral:rRNA from 1 species